AACUUUCCAGAGAUGGAUUGGUGCCUUCGGGAACUCUGAGACAGGUGCUGCAUGGCUGUCGUCAGCUCGUGUUGUGAAAUGUUGGGUUAAGUCCGCAACGAGCGCAACCCUUAUCCUUUGUUGCCAGCGAUUCGGUCGGGAACUCAAAGGAGACUGCCGGUGAUAAACCGGAGGAAGGUGGGGAUGACGUCAAGUCAUCAUGGCCCUUACGAGUAGGGCUACACACGUGCUACAAUGGCGCAUACAAAGAGAAGCGACCUCGCGAGAGCAAGCGGACCUCACAAAGUGCGUCGUAGUCCGGAUCGGAGUCUGCAACUCGACUCCGUGAAGUCGGAAUCGCUAGUAAUCGUGGAUCAGAAUGCCACGGUGAAUACGUUCCCGGGCCUUGUACACACCGCCCGUCACACCAUGGGAGUGGGUUGCAAAAGAAGUAGGUAGCUUAACCUUCGGGAGGGCGCUUACCACUUUGUGAUUCAUGACUGGGGUGAAGUCGUAACAAGGUAAGCGUACGUGU
rnacentral:rRNA from 1 species